ensembl:lncRNA
AGAAAAUGGGCAGAUAUCCUACAUUCCUGGAUGGGCAGAAUCAAUAUUGUCAAAAUGACCGUAUUAUCAAAAAUAAUACUUGGAUUUUAUGCAAUUCCAGUCAAAAUACCAACAACAUUCUUCACAGAACUAGAAAAAACAAUCCUAAAAUUUAUAUGAGGCUAUUUAUAUGGAGCCAAAGCAAUCCUGAACAAUAAGAGCAAAGCAAGAGGCAUUACAAUUCCAUAUUUCAAGUUAUACUACAAAGCUAUAAUCAUCAAAAGAGGAUAAAAAAUAGACAUGUACAGCAUUGGAAAAGAAUAGAAGAUACAGAAACAGCCCUUUUCACCUUUAGUCUGAUCUUUGACAAAGAUACUAAAAACAAAUGCUGGAGAAAAGACAGUCUCUUUAACACACGGUGCUGGGAAAAUUAGUUAUCCAUGUGUAAAAGAAUGAAUCUAGACCCAUCCGUCUCAUCCUAAGCUAAUAUAACAUCAAAAUAGAUCAAAGACCUACAUAUAACAACAGAUGCUGAACAUGCUGGAAGACAAAAUAUCUAAUUCUUGAAGACAAAGGCAUAGGCAUAGUUCUUUUUGAACAGAAUCCCAAACUAUACAUGAAAUAAUAUAAGAAUAGCAUUACCCCAAAUUAAAAAAAACUUCUGCAUAGCAAAGGAAAUAGAUUGAAGAGAUAACCUACUGAAUGGGAAAAUAAUUUUACCAGCUACUCCUUGAAGAGAAGACUAAUAUUUUGAAUUUAUAAAGAACUGAAAAAAAAUUAGACCUCAAAAAACAAAAGACCCAAUCAAAAAUGGGCAAUUGAAAUGAAUAGGCACUUCUUAAAAGAAGUGCAAAUGACCAAUAAGUACAUAAAAAGCUUUUCAGCAUCUUUGGCCAUUAAAAAACAAAAAUCAAAACACUGAUAUUCCAUCUUACUUCAGUAAGAAUGGGUAUCAUCAAAGACUCAAGAAACAACAAAUUUUGGUGAGGUUGUGGGGAUAAAGGAAACUUCUACAUUGUUAAUGGGAAUGUAAACUAGUAGAACCCCUAUGAAAAUCAGUAUGGAGAUUUCUCAGAAAACUAAAAGUAAAAAACUUCAAUUUGACCCAGUUAUACCCUUUCUGGGUAUCUUUCCAAAAGAGUUAAAGUUAUCAUAUUAUAAUGAUUAAUGAAUACUCAUGUUUAUAGCAGCACAGUUCACAAUAGCUAAAUUCUGGAAGUUACCUAUACUGUAUGCCUAUCAACAAAUGAAUGGAUAAAGAAAAUGUGGAAAAUAUACACAAUAGAGUACUACUCAGCCAUAAGAGGGAUAAAUAUGAGUUAUUUGUAGGAAAAUUGAUGGAUCUUGAGAUAUAAUGCUAAGUGAAGUAAAUCAGACACAGAAGGUUAAAUAUCACAUGGUUUUUCAUAUGAGAAAGCCAAAAUAUAAAUAAUUUAAACAGCAAAAUAAAGAUGGCAGGAAACAGGAAGAUUUUGAAGAUGGGAAGAUCUGGGAAAGGAAAAGAGGGGAAAGGGAAAGAAGAGUAAAGAUGAUCAACAUGCAAUAUGUGAAUGUACCAAUUCCCAAAAAUGAAUGUAAUUAUUAUAUGUCACAAACAUAUAUUAAUAACAAAUUUUAAAAAAGAAAAGAAAAAGCCUAAGCCUGGCCUGAUAGCCUGGGAUCAUGGGUGGGAGGCUGAGGACAGGUGUGGUUUCAGUGGGGGCUGUCUAGUGAUGAGUUCUCAUAGAAAAUUGCUGAGAUUCCUGGCAUGGCAGGUUUCUAUAUGGGAUCAUUUCUCUGAUUGUUCUAUAAUUCACGACUGCAUAUUAUAAAUUUUGAUCCAUUGCCUUGGGUUCUAAUUGGAGAACAUUCUCCAUUUCAUAGAGUUGCUUUCUUUAGUGGUGACAAGGGGAAUACUGUUCCUGCCACUCCCUGGGUAGGGAUCCUAUGUAUUCUGAGUACAUCCAACGUAUGCUCAUAUGAGAGUUUGUUAAAGAUUUUUUUUCCAUUCUCUAAUAAAUAUUUAUCAAGAAAGAGAUCAACAACGGUCUUUGAUUAGAUUCAGUGCCAAUUGGUGUCUGGCAUGCUUGGCAUUAUUCUGUCCCUGGCCCCUUUGCAUGUGCUGGGUUGUAGGUGGCAAUCAAGGAAUUAAGGCUGCAGCUGAAGCAGUGGUCCCAGAAACCCUCUUAGACACUGGAAAGUGACCUGGGCAGGGAAGUAAAUUGUUCUUCCUCUUUGAGCUUGGGAGAUGAGGCCUGGAGUUUGAGCACAGAUGUGCCAUCUUGAAAAUAAAAGAAGGAUUGGCUCGAGGAGAGAUGCUUGGAGUAGUCUUGGGUUAGGCAUGGUCCUGGAUGUCUCUGCACAGACUUUCUUGGGUGCUCAGAGAAUUGGGGAAUAUCCAGCAGUGCCUCUAAGCCCAGUCCAGGGAGAUGGACCUUUUCCUAGGCUGUUCCCUCGAGAAGCCCAGAAUAUCCUUGAGGGGCCUGGUCUUAUUCAUGUCUCUUAUCUUUGCUUCUGACCCAAGUCCAGCAACGAUUGUUGCUCUAAUGUCAUGUGAUCCAGCAAGGCUCUAAGACCAGACUCUGCCUCCAACUCUAGCCACACUUUUCCCACUCUCCAGUUACUUGUCACUCACACAAUACAUGUUGUUUUCCAUUCUUUGGCUACAUCAAGGUCCUCCCCUGCCAUGUCUACUUCCCUAAAUGCUGUUCUCUUUGUCUAGAACACUUUAUCUACUUCUUUACCUGGCUGAUUUAUCCACAUUGACAGGUUCCAGCUUAUUGUUUUUUUUUUUGUUUGUUUGUUUUUGUUUUUUUUAGUAUCAGGGAUCAAACUUGGGACCUUGCACUUGUGAGGCAGGUGGCAGCACCACUGAGCUAGAUCCCUGGCCUGACAGGUUCCAGUUUAGCUAUCAUUUCCUCCAGGAAGUCUUCCUUGACUUGCAAACUAGGUCAGGCUUCCUGGCUGGUGCUGUCUUUGUUCUUAUGUCUGCAAUUAGAGGUUCACUUGGGUAAUAAUUGGUCCAAUGUCUUCCUCACAACUAGAUGGUAAACUCUGUGAUGGGAAAGACCGUGGACAUUUUCUGACCUGAAACUUGCAUAAUAAGUGAGCAAAACUUUUUGGAGAAUAAAUGAUUCAAAUUUCUCACACUUCAGUCACAUAACAAUUCAAACAUGGGGUAGCUGGUGCUGUACCAAACAAACAGGCUUUGUUUUGCAGUUAAUGAAUUAGUGAAGGCAUAGCAAUUGAUUGCUUUUUAUGUGUAGAGAAAUUAUCUCUGUCCUGAUUUUCAAUAUCUGUGCUAUUUUGGGCUGUUUUUCUCUUUUUGGCCUAUUUGUAUUGCCGCAAUAAUUUCACCAUUUGGCUUCACAGAGGCCCAAUAACUAUUACAAAUAAGGUUCCAUAAAAUUUACUUCUUGACAUUAGAAUGUUUUGUUGCUAAUUACUCUCUGAGGUUUUUAAUUUCAAUCCCUCCUAGGUGAUUUAGUGCAGAAAUUCAAGGGCACAGUUAUUUCCCCCAAAGGGAAAGGAGAACUAAGUAAUGCCAAGUUUCUAUUUGCCCUACCUUCUGGUAGAGCUAUCUCAGUUUUGAUUCUAUCUAUUGUACUUUAUCCUGGCCAGAAAAGAAUAAGUGAACAAAAAUCUUACUGGAAAAAAGAUAUAAAUUCUUGGGGAAAAAUAAAAGUACUCUUUCACUAAUGUAGUCAUUUGAACAAUAUUUAUUGAGUACUUAUGAGGUGUGAUCCAAAAAUAAGAUGAAUGCUUAAAUUUUUAAAAAAUUAAGUAAAAGACAUUACCAUGAAUCCCUCCUCAAAAUACUCCCCCUUGCUUUGAACACAGUUACUCUGUCAUUCUUUGAAGCACUUCUGGAAGUUCUCUCUUGUGUCUUUAGUUGUGCUGUUGUGGUUGCCUAGAUGUUCUGAAUCAGUUCAAAACAUUUACUACCUUUCAUGGUCAUUUUGACUUUCAGGAAGAGCCAGAAGUCAUAUGGUGCCAGAUCUGGUGAAUAAGGUAGUUGAAGACAUACAGUAAUGUUUUUACAAGGCUGCCGUUCUGUUGGCUGGCAGCAUUCAUUAUAUUUUUUGUCACACCUUGUAAAGACAGUCAGAAAAGAGGACUGUCAGAACUGCUUCAGAAAGUGGCAAGAACAAUAGGAUAAAUAUUUUCAAAAUGAGGGGGAUUAAUGGCAAUCUGUCUUUUACUGUAAUACUUUAAAAAAGGUUAAAAAAUAUUCACUGUAUAUUUUGAUCACACCUUGAAUUAUGCAUCAGAUUCUGUGUUCUAGGCAUGGAAGAUGAAUAAAAGAAUACAACAUGUUGCUGUCUCCAGGUAGUUCACAGAGUUGGGUGGGCAAGAAAUGUUGAAGAUUCUCAGGCAUGUCUGGGAGUGAAUCUCAUGGUGGAACUUGGUAGCAAAAGCCCAUCCAGAAGUGUCAUAUCAGUCUCCAGGGGUUGAAAUGAGGGGAACUUUGGUUAUUUUUCAUUUGAAGACACUGUCUAACUGGAAAGAAUGUGAAUUUUAAUAAUAUUUUGAAUGGGUUGAUAAAAUAGGAACAGAUGGUUAAAGUUUGUCAUUUCAGGAAAAAUAAUGAAAUAUUGCACAGCUGAAUCUGCCUCUCUUUCACACUCUUCCCUAUCCCCUCCCCACCGCAGAUACACUCAGAUGCAUGAAAAUUUAAAGCAAAAUACUAAUAAUAUCUUUUAGCCACUUUAGGUCUCCAUACCCAAAAGGACCCUAACUUUUUCAGUCAUUUCUAUGUUACUGUGUUAGCCUUUUAUUCCAAUGGUGCAUCCUGAGAGGAGCCUUUCUACAGGAUAUUGCUUUGUGGGGAUAUAAGAGAUGGUGGGGAAGUGAGACUUGCCUGAGUGUCUCUCUGCCAUGAAGAAAACUGGCUUUGCUUUAUUGACCAGAGCAGAUGUACUCUUUGAGGAACUCAGCAGGGUAAGUAUGAGUUGGGUAAGAUAUCCUAUCUACCAGCUCCUAGGAUUUUUAUGAGUAGAAGCUCUAACUGCUGACACGUUCCUGGUCAAGAGAAAGCAGAUCCUCACCAUUAUCACCUGUACUUUCUUGGAUUUAUUCCAGUUGCACAUCUCUGAAGUUUUCCUUUUAUUCUGCUUGGACAGCACAUUAGAUGAGAUCAAACGCUGAGAGAGAGACAUAAGCACUGCUUUGGCACUGUUGCUAGAAACUCUUGGGAGAAUGAGCAUUGUGUACCAUUUGCCCAUUGCUUGCCGACUUCAGUAGCAAGAGUCUUCAGAAUGCUCCUGGAUAAACAUAAUCUUUGUGGCCAUACAUUGUUUUAUGAGCUGAGUCUUUAGCUUGGCUGGCUCCUUAAAUGCUGCUGUCUGAUUCUCCAGGCAGCAGAAAACAAGGAAAGAAGAGCUCACCGAGCUUUGUGGAUGGCCAAUUUCACUUGCCAAAGGCUAUUUUGAAUAUCCACCAGUCUGAAAGAGUUUCCUGCUGAAAGCAUGACUACUUCCUUACUCAUCGAGUUUCGUUUAUCAUUUAAGGAUGAAUGCCCUCCUAUCCUGUAGCUGAGGUGUGCAAUCAUGGUGUGGACAAUUUUUUUGGAGGGAGUCUGAAGAAACUGUUAUCUAAGAUGGAUUCAUACUGGAAGCAAGAGAGCAAACUGGGAAAAAUGGCCUUAGGCUCUGUGAUUGUCAUUGUGUACAUUAGACAAGACAAUGAAAGUAGAGGAUGAAAUAAGACCUUUCUGGUUGUUCAGAAGGCCUGUGUAGCUUGGCCCCACUUACUGGACAGAGCUUCCUGGAGAGAGUUUUUCGAGAAUGUGGCUUCAUUCCAUAGUAUUGCUUUAUGGUGGCCAUUGGGCAGGGGGAUCUAUCUUCCUGGGAGUUAGUUACAUAAAUAAAGACAUCUCUUUUGUUAUGCUCUUGGAAUCCCUUACCUUUCUCCCCGCAAAAGAUGUAUCUGGCUAUUGAGAAACUAAACAUUCACAGAACAGACAUUUUCUGGACAAGACUGGGCAGCCUUUAUUGGUGGGUGAAGUAGUCCAGAGAUCAAGAGGUGGUAGCAAUAAUUCAGGAAUGCUGCUGUGAUUGUUCAAGUC